CUGUCUCUUGCUUCAACAGUGUUUGGACUGAACCG
rfam:Myotis davidii contig27021, whole genome shotgun sequence.